CUGAAUUUGGUGUGUGUAUAGUGGAUGUAGUGUGUGUAUAGUGAAUGCAGAGUGUGUGUUUUGUGUAGUGGAUAUAGUGUGUGUAUAGUGAAUGCAGAUUGUGUGUUUGUGUAGUGGAUGUAAUGUGUAUAUAGUGACUGCAGAGUUUGUAGUGAAUGUAGUGCAUGUAUAGUGAAUGCAGAGUGUAUGUUUGUAUCUGUGUAUUAGAUGUGGUGUGUAUAAUUACUGCUUAUUGUGUGUUUAUGUGUAUUAGAUGCAGUGUGUAUAGUGACUGCAGAAUGUAUGUAGUGAAUGCAGUUUGUGUAUUUGUGUAGUGGGUGAUGUUUGUAUAUUGAAUGCAGUGUGUGUGUGUAGUAAAUGCAGUUUGUGUGUUUGUGUAGUGAACACAGUGUGUGUUUGUGUAGUGAAUGCAGUUUGUGUGUUU